rfam:Papio anubis isolate 1X1155 chromosome 3, whole genome shotgun sequence.
UAGAUUGAAGCUAGUUGAUUAGGGCAUUUAGUUGUUAACUAAAUUUUCGUGGGUUUGCAUCCCAUUAAUCUAG